AUCUUGAUCACAACUACUGUGGCCUGCUUUAUAUGGCAGCAGGUCAGGAUAGGGAGCCUGGCAAAAUGUGCUGCUGAAGAGAGAGAGGAGAGAUGAAGGUAAUGCUUGUCUCAGCCCAGGUCUGGUGCGUUCAGACUGGCAGGAUCUUCCUGGGCCGUCCAAUUACAGUUUCUGUUGACACUUUUCAGCUCUUGCAUCCAGCUUGCUGACAGAGGAUGUUGGUUUGUGGGGCCUGGCAGCGAGAGUUUUCCGAAGAGGAGCUCUAAGGCCAGCUGCAAGGGUCACGUGAAACUGUCUGAUUUUGGGCUAAGCAGAGCUGUUCAGAAGGCUCAGAGACCUGAGCUCUCCAGGAACCUUGAACCCAGGCAGCCAGUGCCUUCUGUGAGUACAAGCUGUCCUUGUUCAACAGGGAAAUAGCUGAGAGCUGAAGCCAGCCCACACCAUAAUUCCCUCAGCUUCCUCUUCUGCAGAUGAAACAAUCCCAGUUCCUUCCGCCACGCCUCCUAAGACUUGUUAUCCAGACCCUUCACCAGCUUUGUUGCCCUUCUCUGGACACCCUCUAUCACCUCCAUGUCCUGGGGAACACCGCUUGUGCCCGGCCGCCCGCCGGCUGGGUUUACCUCUGUUCCCCACCGCUCUUGGGGCCCAGUCAUCCAUCCUGUUCUGCUAUCCAGCAAUC